AAAAUAAUCCUACCCUUUGUGAAUUUUGUUUGUUUGAAUAAUUUUUUUUUUUAAAAAAUUAUUGGAGUCUUUCCCUUUAGAGUUUGCUUUUGAGUUUGUAAAAGAAUUCGAAAACAUCUAAAGGGGAUGGUCAAUAAUUUUUUUUGAAAAAAGACAUUUUUUAAAAUUAAACUUUUUGUAUUCAUUUGUCUAAAAAUUAUUUUUAUAAUAUAAAAACAACUUUUGACAAUGGAUCUCUUGGUUCUCGCAACGAUGAAGAACGCAGCAAAAUGCGAUAAGUAGUGUGAAUUGCAGAAUACGUGAAUCAUCGAAUCUUUGAACGCAUAUUGCACUUUUUUAGUUUACUAAAAAAGUAUGUCUGUUUGAGUAUCAGUAAAAUAUUCUCAUAAAAAUCAUUGUGUAUUUUUAUGGUUAUGAGUGUUUUACAACGAUACAAGUUGUUUCACUUUAAAUUUUUUUUAAUAUUGAAAUUUUUCUAAUUUUAAUAAUUAAAAUUGGAUAAAAUUUUCCCGUCAAAAGGAAUAACCUAAACAAUUUUAAAUGAUUAAUUUUAGCAAAAUUUUCGAAAAAAGGAAAAUUUUUAUUAAAAUAACAUGAUCUCAAAUCAGAUAAGAGUACCCGCUGAACUUAAGCAUAUCAAUAAGCGGAGGAAAAGAAACUAACAAGGAUCCCUUAGUAACGGCGAGUGAAGCGGGAAGAGCUCAAAUUUGAAAUCUUCAAGGUUUUACCUUGACGAAUUGUAGUUUAAAGAAGUGUUUUCUGCUGAAGUUUUGGUAAAAGUUCUUUGGAAUAGGACAUCAUAGAGGGUGAGAAUCCCGUAUUUGACCAUUAUUUUCAGCUUUGUGAUACACUUUCAAAGAGUCGGAUUGUUUGGGAAUGCAGUCCAAAAUGGGUGGUAAAUUUCAUCUAAAGCUAAAUAUUGGCGAGAGACCGAUAGCGAACAAGUACCGUGAGGGAAAGAUGAAAAGAACUUUGAAAAGAGAGUUAAACAGUACGUGAAAUUGUCAAAAGGGAAGCGUUGACACCAGUGUUGUUUUCUCGAAAAUCAAUUAAAAAUGGCUCGAUUUUGUAUUGCUGAGACCUUAAAAGCUCACUGUACAUUUUUCGUGUCUUUUUUAAUGCACCUUUCGUUUAACAAGUCAACAUCAGUUUCUUUUGUUGUAAAAGGGUCAUUGGAAGGUGGCUUUCUUUUCGGAGAAAGUGUUUAUAGCCUUUGGCCUCUGCAAUCGGAGAGACUGAGGUCUGCAGCGUAGACUCUUCGGGGUUAGAUACAUUUGUGCUAAGUUAUAGCUUUUUAUAGACAACUUGUUGACUAUAAUUAGUCUUGUAGCUUACUCGCUUAUGCUAUUU
rnacentral:misc_RNA from 1 species